rnacentral:tRNA from 1 species
GCCCCAUUAGCUCAGCCGGUAGAGCACUUGACUUUUAAUCAAGGUGUCUGCGGUUCGAUUCCGCAAUGGAGCACCA